CGCCUGGGGAGUACGGCCGCAAGGUUAAAACUCAAAUGAAUUGACGGGGGCCCGCACAAGCGGUGGAGCAUGUGGUUUAAUUCGACGCAACGCGAAGAACCUUACCUGGCCUUGACAUCCAGAGAACUUUCCAGAGAUGGAUUGGUGCCUUCGGGAACUCUGAGACAGGUGCUGCAUGGCCGUCGUCAGCUCGUGUCGUGAGAUGUUGGGUUAAGUCCCGUAACGAGCGCAACCCCUAUCCCUGGUUGCUAGCAGGUAAUGCUGAGAACUCCAGGGAGACUGCCGGUGACAAACCGGAGGAAGGUGGGGAUGACGUCAGGUCAUCAUGGCCCUUACGGCCAGGGCUACACACGUGCUACAAUGGCGCGUACAGAGGGCUGCCAACUCGCGAGAGUGAGCCAAUCCCUUAAAACGCGUCGUAGUCCGGAUCGGAGUCUGCAACUCGACUCCGUGAAGUCGGAAUCGCUAGUAAUCGCGAAUCAGAAUGUCGCGGUGAAUACGUUCCCGGGCCUUGUACACACCGCCCGUCACACCAUGGGAGUGGAUUGCACCAGAAGUAGUUAGUCUAACCUUCGGGAGGACGAUUACCACGGUGUGGUUCAUGACUGGGGGUGAAGUCGUAACAAGGUAACCGUA
rnacentral:rRNA from 1 species